rnacentral:piRNA from 1 species
UUCUUUAGAUUGUGACUAUGCCCUGGUUC